CAUAUCAACUUUCGAUGCCAUUGUAUGCGCCUACAAUGGUUACCACGGGUAACGGGGAAUCAGGGUUUGAUUCCA